rnacentral:snoRNA from 1 species
AAGGCUAUACUUUCAGGGAUCAUUCCUAUAGUGUGUUACUAGAGUUUCUCUGAUCGUGUAGAGUACCAGAAACCACGAGGAGGAGGCAUAGUGCUCCUUCCUGAGCAUGAAGCCGGUUCUUGGUGUUGCCUUGGUGCAACUGCCACUUGAUGAUCAUUCUUGCUUUCUCCUUGGAGGGAGCAGGAGGGAAAGAACGCAGUCUGAGUGGG